AUUGAACGCUGGCGGCAUGCCUUACACAUGCAAGUCGAACGGUAACAGGUCUUCGGAUGCUGACGAGUGGCGAACGGGUGAGCAAUGCGUCGGAACGUGCCCAGUAGUGGGGGAUAGCCCGGCGAAAGCCGGAUUAAUACCGCAUACGACCUGAGGGUGAAAGGGGGGGAUCGCAAGACCUCUCGCUAUUGGAGCGGCCGAUGUCAGAUUAGCUAGUUGGUGGGGUAAAGGCCUACCAAGGCAACGAUCUGUAGUUGGUCUGAGAGGACGACCAGCCACACUGGGACUGAGACACGGCCCAGACUCCUACGGGAGGCAGCAGUGGGGAAUUUUGGACAAUGGGCGCAAGCCUGAUCCAGCAAUGCCGCGUGCAGGAAGAAGGCCUUCGGGUUGUAAACUGCUUUUGUCAGGGAAGAAAUCUUCUGGGUUAAUACCUCGGGAGGAUGACGGUACCUGAAGAAUAAGCACCGGCUAACUACGUGCCAGCCGCCGCCGUAAGAC
rnacentral:rRNA from 1 species